UAAAAAAUCCAAAUUAAAAAAAAAAUUAACUAGGGCAUAUGAAAUUUUCUUUGUCCAGAUAACAGGAGCCACCUAGAAUGCCAGAAUACUUCAGCUUCCUAGAGGAAUGAGGAUACCAGGCAUUCCCCACCUGCUCCUUUCAGAUUUGGGAUUUCCUUUUUUGCUUACAAUGCCCCAAUACAAGAUAAGAAGAGUAGGAAUACAAAAAGAGCCACUGUACAGUGCUAAAGGAACAUCGAACUUGAACUGCAAAGUGCCAAAUGAGGACAAAAAGUUCUUUUAUACUUCGGAAGCCACUAAGGAUGUAGAAUGUACAUUUUAUUUCUACUGAAUUGAAUUUUAUAUUCUGUUUUUAGUUUAUUCUCUGACUGUUGAGCAUUUCUUGGAUGCAAAUCUCCUGUAUUAUUCAUGUACUACUUCACUACUUUUUUUAAGGCCAUAUGCAUAUUUAUUUGUUAAAUAAGAUUCUUAUGCUUUCAUUCAAAUUUCUGAUAAAAAUGUUAGACAAAACAAAGUAAAGCAUAAAAACUAAGGAUAUCCUACUAGACUUGUUUCAAAUAUAAAUAAAUUAAUUAAUUAAUGAUUGACUAUAUGUUUG
rnacentral:lncRNA from 1 species